AUCCGUUCCAAGCUCUGUCAUGGCGGCAUCCCGGCCUCAAGCCGGUGUGUGGAACCGAGAUGUUGAGCUUUUUGUCCGCUCGACAGUCAGGGUUGGAGGACCCUCUUCGCUUGCGUAGAGCGCAGUCUACACGGAGGGUCCUGGGCCUGGAGUUAAACAAAGACAGGGAUGUUGAAAGAGUCCACUGCAGCGGAGUCAACACUCUGGACAUUGAACCUGUCGAAGGACGAUACAUGUUGUCAGGUGGUUCCGAUGGUGUGAUUGUACUCUAUGACCUUGAGAACGCCAGCAGACAGCCCUAUUACACAUGUAAAGCAGUGUGUUCCGUUGGCAGAAGCCAUCCUGAUGUCCACAAAUACAGCGUGGAGACGGUUCAGUGGUAUCCUCAUGACACUGGCAUGUUCACAUCCAGCUCAUUUGAUAAAACUCUGAAAGUAUGGGAUACAAACACAUUGCAGGCUGCAGAUGUGUUUAAUUUUGAGGAAACAGUUUACAGUCAUCACAUGUCCCCAGCAGCCACCAAGCACUGUCUGGUAGCAGUUGGAACUAGAGGACCCAAGGUCACAGACAGGAAAUAUUGGCAGUUUCCUGGUCACCACGCUAUGACUAUAUCUUGGCAACAGCAAGCGCUGACAGUAGAGUAAAAUUAUGGGAUGUGAGAAGAGCAUCAGGAUGUUUGCUUACUCUUGACCAGCAUAACGGGAAAAAGUCACAAGCUGUUGAAUCAGCAAACACUGCUCACAAUGGGAAAGUUAACGGCUUAUGUUUUACAAGUGACGGGCUUCACCUGCUCACGGUUGGCACAGACAACCGAAUGAGGCUCUGGAAUAGCUCCAGCGGGGACAACACACUGCACCAUUGCCAUGUAUGCAGUCUACUCAGGAGAGCGGCUCGCCAUGCUUAAGGGACAUUACAAAAGUGUCGACUGCUGUGUGUUUCAGCCUAAUUUCCAGGAACUUUACAGUGGUAGCAGGGACUGCAAUAUUCUCGCUUGGGUGCCAGCUUCAUAUGAACCAGUUCCUGAUGAUGACGAUGAAGCUCCAACCAAAUCGAGGUUGAACCCAGCAUUCACGGAUGCCUGGAGCAGCAGUGACGAGGACGGGUGACUUCAGCCUGGUGCCUCAGCUCCUUGUUCCAUCAGACUUCCACAGCAGUGUUGUGUGCACUUCAGCACGGGGCUGGUCUUUCCAUUGUUGUUGGUUGUCUCACUGUGUAACCCUGGCUAGCAUGGACUAGCCUGGAACUCUGUAUAGAGCAGACUCGGCUCAGACUUGCAGCCAUUCUCCUGCCUUUCCUCCUAGGUGCUGAGGUGUGUACCACAUGACCCGUGGCCCCUCCUGUGCGUGUGCUUAUUUAUUUCAUUGUUUUUUAAACUCUUCUGUCAGUUUCUAGCCUGUUAAACCUGAAUUUAGUAUAUCUCCCUCUGCGUUUUAAAAUGAGAUUAAUAUGUAUAAAACCCUGAAAUAUACUUUUCUAUAGGUUAAUUAAUCAAAGCAUGUUUCCUUGAGCCCACUUGCCAUGGUGGUGGGCCAGCCCCUAAGGGCACAGCCCAAGAACACAGCACAAGCACAGCUAUUCUUAGCUGGGAAUGUGCAGCUUUGUGCAUCCGAGGAGCUGGAAGGUGUGGUCUCAGAGGAAGGUGUCAGCUCUGACUGCUCUGACUGCUGUCCGCCUGCCCUUCCCACUUACAGGGAGGUUUUAGCAAGGGUAAUGAGAUAAAUGAUGCUGCUUGUUGCAAAGGUGACAUCAUAACUCUGUUACCUUUACUCAGAUUGAAUGGCUUCAUGUGAUGGAGCGUCUUCUCCCUUGUGUUGAAUGUUAGCCGCUCAUGCAUCUGACAUCUGAACAUUGUAUCACAUGGGCAAUCCCUGACCGCUUUGUAGUUCUUUCAGAGGGCAGCUUGCACUCAGUCUCAAUUCCUUUCUAUGAAACUCAGCAGAUCCAUGCAGGGAUCUAGAUUAAACAUGAAAUGGACCAUUGUUCUUUUCUUGGGUCAACUCAGGAGUGAUUAUUAUGAAGACUCCCCCACUCCUGUGUGCGUGAGUGCCUGCGUGUAUACAUGUCAGUUUCUGUUCUAUUGCUGUGAUAAAAUACCCUGAACAAAGACAAUGUAGGAGAGAAAGCAUUUAUUUCAGUUAAUAAUUCCAAGUUAUAGCCCUUCACUGUGGGAAAGUCAGGACAGAAGCUUCAAACAGCUCGCCUCACAGUCGAGAGGAGUGCAUGCACGAAGCCUUUGCUGCACAGCUGAACUGAGAAGGCCUCACAGAGAGCAGUGUCUUCUCUGACUGAAAUUCUUUUCAUGCUGUGUGCUGAAAAGUUCCAUCUAAAACCGACAAGGAAAAAAAUAGAAAAUAAACUUUAGAGGAAGUCAUGG
rnacentral:lncRNA from 1 species